CUCCAUCUAAGGAAGGAAGGAAGACAGACAGCCCUCCCUGGAGUCAUUCCUGAGGCCAUAUCCAAACAGCACUUCCUGACUUUGAGACUCAAAACCACAUACAGAGAUCCAAGUGUGACUGCAGUCAUGGGGGAGACCUGUGGCCGGAAGCGCUCCCUCCCUCGCCCCCCCCCCCCCCCACACAUCACGAUGCUAGCGCACCGGAGCUAAAACUGGCUAGCAUGCGAAGCCUCCCUGCUCAACUCCCAAUGCCUACGGGCCACUGGGGACAAGUUCCACUACAACAAAUCGGACACUGAAAACCCAUGUGUGCCUCUCACGACAGGCUGCAAGCCCCAUGUUCCUGCACAGGGCAGGGAGCGAUAAAACCAAAUGGCAAAAGAACCAAAGGAAACAAGCAGAUUUUCCUCAGGUUCAUCCUGAAGGAAUGGCCCAAGGUUCUAAGAAAACAUUAUUUAAUGGUCGAAGCAGUGAGGGGACAGGGGAGCUCAGACCUCCCAAGGAGCAUGCAGAUGGGACACUAUCCAGCCUGGGCCGCCUCCGUGUGGAAGACCCCAGCACUAAUCUCCCUAACACCUGAACACUGAAAGUGCAGGCCAGGGUGCCCAGCACCCCAGAAAUCUCUCUCCUGCCCUGGCGAAGGCGGUGGUAAGCCUGGCAGUGCCCCCCACCUAGGGGUGCCCCCUGAAGGUACAGCUCCAUAAGCCAACACCUGCGCAGGGAUACUCCUGCAUGUGAUCUCUGAGCGUACAACUGCCCUUCGGGAGAGCCCAGCGCAUGGGCUCACCGCACCCUUGCAGGGUAGAGCGCCCGCCGGCAGGCAAGACACACACCCGCAACGGCCACCAAACGGCGUGAGCGCCACAACACUGGCGCCACAGCCACUGACAGAAGAACAGGGAGAGAGAUAAGUGAGUACAUGUAUUUGCUCAGUUCUGCAGAGAAAUGCAAUGAAAGCAGGCAAGGACAGACCCAUAGUUGUAAAAGUGACUGCCUCUGGGCACAGACAGCAGCCUGCAGACGGGCAAAAGUGGGGCUUUCUGAAGGCACCUUCCAGACAGUUUCGACUUCUGAACCAUAUAGGUGUUUACAUAUUUUAAAAACAUAUUAAAUCAAAAAUUAAAAAAUUAAAAAGCAAACGCUAAAACUGAAAACAGACAGCAGUAAAGAGGACCCUUUGUCAGAGUCACAACAGAAGCACACAAGGAGCCUGAAUUCCAGUGACUUCAAAUCCUUAGUGAGCAGACAUCCUUAGUGGGUGGGUACACUCUCAGAGCAAAAAUAAACGCAAAGAAAUUAAAUUUCAAUCACUAGUUUACUGUUAGACUAUCAGUAGUAUAGGAAAGUAUUUGAGGUCUCCUGUGCAAGUAAGUAGUAAGUAAGUAAGUAAGAGUGCAAGUAAGUAAUAAGAUAGAACAAACAUAGUAAGAAACCAAAUGUUCAGCUCAAGAAAAAAGAUAUACAGUGUAAGGUCAAACAAAUUCAUGGAUUUUCAUUUAGAAAUACUCAUGAUUUUUUAAAGCUAUCUUCCCCAGUCUGUCUACAGAAAAGCAAUUACAAUCCAGGAGCACGACCAACACCCCCCGCACCCAGAUGCUGGUUUCCAUAUACCAAUCCCCAAAUAAGGAAGCCAGGUUACUUGGAGAAAUGAAGGAUUCCAGAUCUGGGGCAAAGAAAGGUGGCCCGGGACAUUCUGCAUUCUGUCGUGCCAAAAAGCAAGAAAGCAUCCCAAGGCCAAUAAGGGCCUUGUCAAGGACCAAGGGCAGCAUGUGGGGGCUCUGAGGGGCCGAGCCUGAAGCACCUGAGCAUCAAAAGCAACAAGGACUAGAGAUGACUUUAAUUUGUGAACAAAAAUCUGAGUCUAUACACAAGAAAAAUGGAAAACUAACAAAGUGACAGGAGUGGUUCCAGUGGCAGAAGAGAGGGACCAGAGUGUGCGGGCACUGAGGACCCUUCCACUGGCUCAGUCCCGCGCCACGCAUACCCUGGGGACAGAACCGCUGUGCAGAGAUGUGGUUCUCUGUGCCUUCAUGUUGCUUAAAACAGAGAAAAACUGGAAAUCACCCAAAUACCUAACAAAAGAAGAGUGGUUCUACAAAAUAUAACAUAUUCACAUAACAGAGUAGAGCCGGAGCGUGGUGGGAUAAAUGCACACUACUGACAAGGAAAAAUUUUUAUGACAUUCUGUUGCUAGCUGAAAAAUCCAAAUCGUAGCAACAGCAUGUAGAGAUGGAGAUUUUCGUUUUUAAAACAUGUAUGUGUAUUUGUAAAAAUUACACACAAAGACUACUAUAAUGAUAUACACUAAAACAAAUCUUUUGGUGGUG